UUCGGAGUAGGACUGAAGCGUUAAGUGCUGGUGGAACGGAAUGUGAACGCCAGACGAAAAGCAGCAAUGCUUGCGAUUUCAGUACCGCAUUCGCCGCA
rfam:Lactobacillus graminis DSM 20719 NODE_2, whole genome shotgun sequence.